CCUGCAAUAGUUAUUGUACUACACUACCAGUCUCCCAACAAGAGACCUAACAUUGAAAGCUUUCAAUUCUCCAAGAAUAAUAUAAUGAAGAUCAGUUUUAAGAAGAAUCUGACAAGGAUUUCUCGGAGCAAAGAUUAUUCCAUGCCAAAGACAGACCACCCACUAUGGCCAUGAAGUCUGAGAGAUAAAUUCACCUCGGCAUUUGAGGGAUCAUAUCCAUGUGGUUGUCUGUCCUGUCAUAAUCUAACCCACAGGAUCACCAGCAAGAAAUGUACAGUCUAAAAGGAUCAAUUUCACGGAGUUUUUCUGGAUGUUCUUCUCUCCGACAUGAACACAUGUCCAUGAGUCUGAGUUUACAAGUGCACAGAGAGUGACUUACAUUAAGCCUGACUGUUUUAAUACCCUUCAUAUCUGCAAAGGGGAAAAUGGAAUAAACACAAGAGUCCUAUUAGUUCAAUUCAAAUUCAGCGUCUGGUCCCCAAAAGCUAUUGAUCACAGGCAAGUUUUUAGGUCAUUUAUUUGUCUGUUCAUUCACUUGAAAAUCACUACCGAUGAUGCAUCUGGCGAGUGUGGCCAUGUUUUCUGUAGGAUACGGAGAUGAAUACAGACAAUGUCCUUGGCCUAAAGGAGUCUGACAUCGUACACAGAUAAAAAUAAUAAAAAAUCAGAUUGUGAUAAAAGAUAUAAAGUAGAUAUGAUCAUGGGGUGCAGUGAUUUAGAGGGUGGUUAUAAAAACAUAUCGCAGGGAGAACAUUCUGCUGGCAGCUCAUUUCCUUCCAGAUUAGCUAGCUGGAAGGAAUAACUGACAGCUCCCACCCAGGCGCACAGUGGUUUCUAUUCACUCAGACCACGAUGCCUCAACCACGGCUAUCAGAUUUUAAAAAGCACAAAAAAUUAAAAAUUAAAGAGAAGGGAAAGAAAUGGAUUGGUUUAAAUUAAAGAGGGAAACAGAAUUGGAAGGUAGAAAACCGAAAAGCUUGACAGUUAAUUCAAACAUGGCACAAACAGGUAAGUGCUUGGUGUCCUGACAGAGUGACCGGCUGAGGCCUUGACAAAUCAUUCUGGCUUCUGUGCUUUUACUCAGUCUGGCCAGGAAGGUGACUUAACUUCUGGUCACCUGAACUCUCCCAUCCAGGGUCUGGUGCCUGCAUUUACAGCUCUAAAGCAUGGAGUAAAUAAAAAAGCAAAGUAGGUUUUGACUGGCGACAAGGAGGUCAAAGUUACAUGAAAGUCUGAAUUCUCUUGCACUUCAGUAAGAUUCAAGGUCCAGGUUUCUAAUGGGGCCAGAAGAGCAGGUUCACGGUUGACAAACUCACAUUGAGGUGACUCACUCUGCCCACAUUUUCUAGAUAGAAGGAAAGCCUCCCUAUGACUAAUCAAGGUGUUUUCCUUGUCCAAGACGAUAUUUUCAGCAAUCUAUGCCUAUAUUAUAGACGACACUACAAAAAGCUCACAUCUAUACAAUAAGUUGAUUCACAGUUGAUUUUGCUAAUUUAACUUCACAUAAUGAAUUUUGAAAGUGCAUUUACCCAUAACUUGAACAUAAUUUUCUUAAAUGUUCAGCCCUUAAUAGAGUCCCCAUAGAGGACAAAAAUAUUAAACCGUAUCAAUAAUGCUCACAAAUCUUACAUAUCUUACCACUUAGUCAUUCCAGUACAAAACCAAUCAUUUCAUAGCUUAAAAUCCAAUUCUACAUAUUUAUCCAUGAAAACACUCCAGCAAAUAAAAACACAUCUAUUUUCUCUAUAGAUUCAUGUUUACACGAAAACGGUGGGAUGCUUGGAAUUAGAGAAUCUGCACAUAAAACAGGCUGUGAACUAAUUAUUAAAACUAAGUGAUAGCAAAAGAAACCUCGGCGUAUGACUCUUUACUCUGCCUAUAGGGAGGAAUUUAUGUUGCCACCUGUACAAGUAAACUACAAAGACUUUAUUGAGGUAACUAAAAUUUUCUGAGAAACACUUAAAUAUAUGUACACUUUCCAAUAUAACUUAAAUAUAAUGUGUUUUAUCACUUAUAGUCAUGAAAUUUGAAACUAUGUUCUCAAAAUCAUGUUGCUCCGUGGAGUUGGAUAACAGAUGUGGGAGCCAUGAAAUAAGUGCCCAGAGAAUAAGUUUUCUAGACACACAUUAAUAAAAAUGUAUUAUGAGUUUAAGGCAUUUCUAGCUAUGCUGACCUGUGUGCUAUAGAAUGCAUUAGUUACUUUCUCAGUGCUGUGAUAAAACAUCUUGACAAAACCAACUUAGCGGAGAAGAGAGGAUAUUGUCUUAGGAGAAACUGCCCAUUAAGGCCUGGAAGAUAUGACAGAAGGCAAGGAAGUUUUGGUGGCAAAAGCCAGCACCUGGAAGGUCACGUUGUGUUUGCACUCAAGAAGCACAGUGUGUGAACAGGAAGUACAGCCAGCAUCUCAAGCUUCGAGGCCUUCUUCCUGUGAACUGCUUCCUCCAGUGAGUCUCCGUCUCCUAAAGGAUCCACCGACUUCCAGCAAGCGCCUGAGCUGGGGACUGAGUGCUCCAAACAGUAAGCAUCCCUUGAUUGUAUGGUAGCCUUGGUUCUGAAUACACUGCAUGUUCACUCCUCACUGAGCUUGCCAGGGCCACACCGUGCACUCCUGGAGACAGUGUCUUUAACCUGAGACCACUUUAUGGUUAUGAGUCACAGUGUCUGACACACUAUGCAGUUUGUUUCACUCAUAGAAACACAAUAGUUUAAUAACAGAAAAAGACUUUUAGUAGAGACUUCCCACCACCGUUCCACUGCCUGUAUUUUAUUAAUAUAGCCUUUGAUUAUGUUUCGCUAUAAAGUUUGUUUUUAAAUUUUCAUACUUGAGUUGCAUAAACAAUGAUUAAAUUUGUCUUGAGACUAGGACAGAAUUUCUAGCACCUUCUAAAAGGGCCCUAAAUAACCUUGGGCCAUUUUGUCCUCUGUGUUUAUGUAAAAUGGACAUUCUCGGCUCUGUUAUAAAAUCAGAAUUUUGGCUUAACAUUUAAAACCAU